CAAGAUAAUUGGAAAAGGAGGAACGUAAGGAUCUUGAAGGGGUAUAACUUUUGAUCGGUGAAAUGAGGUACUGGGGAGAAGAGCCAUGGACACAGUGAAAAGUUAACAAAAUCUUGAACAUAAUACGUUGUUUUACAGGGAGCCAAUGCAAGGAAUCAUGAAUAUUUUAUCAUCAUAUUUAUUAAUGUAAUAAGCCUAAUGUGUGAGUGAAAUGUGUUCACACUGAGGCCUGAAAACUGGAUAUAUCAUGAAUAGGAUUUGUGAGUUGAUAUAUUUCUAACAAAAAUGCGAGCGCAAAUCGUGAAACGAAAUUUUUGGUAAACUGUCAUAAAACGGGGGUUUAAGUAGUUAUAUAAUUUGGCAAUUCAAAUAAUGCGAGCGCAUAGCGCAAGCUGCAAGUUAUAUUCACACCAAAGACCUUAUAAUAUAUUACUAGACCGAAAGCUGCGUGCGCGUUCAGCACAAAACAAAUGAGAUUAGGCUCCGCCUACCGCGAUCAUUUGAAGACAAAAAUAAGCCCUCAUUGACAUUCAUGAGCAUGAAGAUAUUCAUAAUCCGGCCUUUUCAUUGGCUAAGAGCGUCAUUAAUACGCAAUUUCCCCGAUUCUUUGUCAUCGAUACUAGUGGUAUCGUGUUACAGAAUUAAUUAUUCAUUUGACCUCAUUACGUCAUCUAAUUUAUUCAUUAUGAAACUUUUCUUUCCACACAAAAAUGGACCUACGAACACUCCGGUGAGUACGUAUAAAUUGAUAUAACCACAUUAAUUCUGUGGACUAUUUACACAUUUCACACUGUAUUUUGUGAUCUUAGAUUAUUUCUUUAACUAAUUAGAGAGUUUGCUAUCAUUCUUCUGUUAAAGAAAAGCAGAAUUUGGUCUUUGAAAUUGAAGUUAGAUUGUCAUCGUCGCCCGGCCCAGUGCAGCCUGUAUGUUGCUUUUCAGUGGUUAUGCCGCUGUGUCAACCACAUGUAUUUUGUACGGGCUCCUAGCCGGCUGGGCAUCGAGAGAAAAUCGGGCCGGGAGCCCACGAUUGAUUAAAACAAGAAGAAUGAAGCUUCUUUUUGUACACUGUAUAACGUUAGAUCUAGAGGGAGAUCUAUCUUCAGUAGAUCGAGACUCAGUCAGGAAUACUGUGAAGCGGAGUGUGGAAGAAGAUAUGCCUGUCAUCAUUGUGUCAAUCCUCACUAGAUUCUCGUCAGUUUCAGAUAUCAAAUUUAUUUUGCAUAACUUCAGGCUUCUUCUGCAUUUAGCCCCCACCCAUUUUAAUUCUUAUUGUCAUUUAUAUAGUUAGACUCGGUAUUAGAAAUAACAAUGCUGCUCUGCAUGUUUGUCUCACUCUCAUUAUCAAUAGGCCUAUACAAUAGAUCAAGAUCUAAUUUCUGGUUAACAGAGCCUAGUCUUUCUUCUUAAUUUUACUUUAUCAGUUUACAUGGUUUAUGAAUUAUGUUACUUUACUUUUAUCCAUCGAUGCUUGUACGUAGAUCUGGGCCUUAUACCUAAUUCAAAUCUAGUCAUCUAACUUAUACUUUCCCAACCCUCGACACGUACCCCCAGGGCUUAGGAUCUAGGUCUAUAAUUUUAGGCCUAGAUGUAGGUCUGGGCCUAAACGACUACAUUUGCAUGUACGAGUAUGACUGUCGGUGGACCAAGGACUAGAUCUAGAUGCUAUCAUCUACUCUAGUCUCGGUCAAUAAUGGCAAUGAAGGUUUAGCCAGGAAUAAAAGUCAGACAUCAAAAAUUUCUAAAUCGAUAUACAUCUAGGUAAAGUCACCGAAGGGUUAGCUUUACAUUCUAGGUCUAGAUAGAUCGAGAGUCUAUCGAUAGUCUAGAUCUAGAACUUAUUUAGAUACAUGAAUGCUGUCACGCAGCACUGAUUCUGGUUGGACUAGAUCUAUACUUUCUUACAAAUAGAUCAUCUAGUCUAGACCUAGUGCAUGAGAUUAUGAAAUUAUGUUGUUAAAAUCAAAUGAAUUAAGAUUCGGAAUAAAAAGAUGCAGAUUUUUUUUUUUUUUUGGGGGGGGGCAGACAUGUGAAGAAAAAAAAUUAGAGAAACCUGAAAUUCAGAAAGUGAGGGCCCGAAGCUACCAAUAUUGCCUAGGGCUGUUUUUUGCAUUUUCUAAAGUAAAAUUGAAGGAUUUCAUGCAAUUCUUUUUUUUUUAUGAAGGUUUUCACAUUUCAGCUCCCACCCAAAUACACUGUUUGAAAAUUUAUUCUUAAAAUAAAAGAAGUUCUUGCAGCAGAGUCUCGAGAACACCUGUAAUUUUACCAGAUUGCAUAAUCUUACAUUAUAUCAUGUAAAAUUACAGGAAAUUGGUAUUUGGUGUAUGGAACCUUACACAUUUCCUUAAAUAAAACACCAUUUUCCCCUUUUUAAACAGACCUGUUCUGUAGAAAACUUCCUGUUUUAUGAAUUUACAGAAUGAUUCUGUUAUUGCUUUCUGCAAAAUCUUGUUUUUUUUCUGUAAAAUCAGGUUUUUUUUACAGUGUACAUACGGCCAUAAAAGAGAUCACUUGACACUUAUUGUUCUCUCUUUUCUUUCACAAACAGGUUGAGUUUGAAGAACAAGAAAAACAGUAGAGGUCUACCUGGUACCUAUGGUUAAACAUGAUGAUCAUAAGUGCAUGUAUCAUUUUGCAGAUUCUCAUCCAGGAUGAUGCAACUCUACAAUUUCCAUGGAGGUGAUUGAUGAUGAUAAACAAUUGGUGAAGUAGGCCUAAUAGAACAGUGAUAGGACCACAAAGAGAAAUACAACCUACAGCAAAUAUAUGAGACUGGUGUAACAGAUGUUUUCAUUCAAGAAAUCCAACAAAUUGAAGAGUGACUUAGCUUAGGAAGCACUUGAUAAAGAUGGAAAAGGUUUUUUUUUUUCAAGUCCAAUUUUUUUUUUUUUAAUUAUCAUCACAACCCCAAAUUCAUGAAGUAUGAAAUUUCCUGUCGAUUUUCAUUAAAACUGGUUGCAAAAGGAAAAGCUAUAAACAUACAAAUAGGAGCGGCGAAGUGAAGUUGAAAGUGGGGGGGGGGGGCACAGGGAAAAUGCUGUAUUAUGUGAAAUUUUAAAGAAGUUGCGAGAGAGCAAAAUUUUGACAUUUUUAAAAAGAAAAUCCAAUUUUGUGAUAGAUUUCGACAAAAUAUUCAGAAUGAUAUAUUUCACCCUUUUUUUUUGGGGGGGGGGGGCAAGAGUCCUCCAUCUGUAGUGUACGAAACUGCUUAUCUACCCCCACUCACAUGAAUUAUUAAACUUAAUGCACAAAGGAUUUCCUUAUUGUUUUCUUGUUUCAAAGGGCACUCGUCAUGGUGACCAUAAAACGGGUCCUUCUCAGGUGAAAGGGGCACAGAACAAAUUCUUUAGGAGCACUUUUCUUGGGUAAAAGGGGGCAGUUAUUCGAGAAAGGGCACUUACAAGAAGGCGAGGGGGCACUUUUUAACACUUAAAACGGGCCCUCAGAUGAAAGGGCACAGAAUACGUUCGGGGGCAUUUUUUGGUAAAAAUUUGCAUACAAGGAAGAGCACUUGGUAACACCUAAAACAGGUUCUCGUCAGGUGAAAGGGACACAGUACACGUUCGUGAGGGGGCAUUUUUCUUACAUAAAAUUAAAGGCACUUUUUAGUGCUUCAAAAAGUAGGGGCCGGAACUGUGCCCCCCAGGAUCGCUGCCCCUGCAUACAAAAAACAUUUUCGUUCGAUUCAAAGUAUUAACAUACGCUUAAGAAAAAAAGUAAGGCUAAAUCCUCUGAUAAUGUGAUAUUUUUUCUGGCUAUUAAUAAAAUUCACAACUAACCAGAAAAUGCCUUCAUGUCUUUCAUUUGUAUUCAUAUAGUAUUUGUACAGAGCUAAAAUGAAAGGGAUUUGGAAUUGGCAAAAUUCAAAUGAGAUGGAGAUCGAGAGAGAGAAAGAGUGAUGAGAAGGGGGUCGAAAAGAGAUGAGAAAGAAAUGGAGGGGCACAUAUGAAGAGAUAAUUUAGAGGGGGGGGGGUAAGAGAGCACGAAUGGUGGGAAGUAGGAACAAAAGGGUGGAAGAGAAAUAAGACGAGAUUUAUGGAAACCAGGAGACAGAUAACAAGUGGGAAAAUUAUUAAAUGGAAAAAUAGAGCAAGAAAUGCUGGAGAAUAGAGGGGACAGGAAACGUAUUAAACAUGAUAAACUGGGGCCCGUUUCAUCAUGAGUUACAAGUAUGGUAAUUAUGAUUGGUUAUAGCCGUUACCAUCGUAGUCAACUACGAUGGUAACUGUUAUAACCAAUCAUAAUCUAGGUUACCACGGUAAUCACAAUAACAGCGAUGUUUAAAUAGCUGUAAUUCAUUAUGAAACGGACGCCAGAUGAAGAAAACAGGCACGGGGAUCCAUGAGGGCCGGGGCCGGCCCCUUACGUAUUAUACCUUGAACAAAAUAUUUUUUUUUUGCUUCUCGAAAUUUGUAACAAGAAAUGUACUCUAUUAGUGGUGACAGUUAUUUUUUUCAGUAACCAUACUCAACCAGUGAAAAUUACCAUCAAAUUGUAAUAACCAUGUUCUGCCCCCACCCGCCCCCCCCCCCCCCCUCCCUAG